UAGCCAAUGAGAAACACCGUGAGCACCUCGUUGACCAAUCAGAAGCUCCGAUGUCCUACUGUGUGUUUCAGGCUGUCGUUGGGAGGCUGAUAUCUUCAGGAGGAGAAUACAGUGUUUGUUAUUGAAGAUGCAGUUCAUGCUCCUCUUCAGCCGCCAAGGCAAGCUCAGGCUUCAGAAGUGGUACGUGCCUUUGUCUGAUAAGGAGAAAAAGAAGAUCACCAGAGAGCUGGUGCAGACUGUGCUGGCACGAAAGCCCAAAAUGUGCAGCUUUCUGGAGUGGAGAGACCUCAAGAUUGUAUAUAAGAGAUAUGCCAGCCUGUACUUCUGCUGUGCCAUCGAGGACCAGGACAACGAGCUCAUCACGCUGGAGAUCAUCCACAGAUAUGUGGAGUUGCUGGACAAAUACUUUGGCAGUGUUUGUGAGCUGGACAUUAUUUUCAACUUUGAGAAGGCUUACUUCAUCCUGGAUGAAUUCCUGCUGGGUGGAGAAGCUCAGGAGACGUCCAAAAAGAAUGUAUUGAAGGCCAUUGAGCAGGCUGACCUACUGCAGGAGAGCCAGAGUGAAGACUGGGGAAGUUUGCCAAAUGAGGAGAUCUUGUAAUGGGCCUAGAGUCCAUCCAUGCCUCCAUCCAGGCAAUUGGUAACUAGAAGACUGAUGCAGUCGGACGCCAAAGAUGCAGAGACUCCACGCAGCGUACUGGAGGAAAUUGGACUGACAUAAACACAUCGUCAUCCUCCUCAUCAUCAUCAUCAUCGUCAUCCACACACUCCAUCUGCCGGUUACUCUGUACGCUGUAUGUAGCUGGUAACAACUCCAAGUUCACCUUUGAACACACUCACACUCACACACUCUACCUUUGUUUUCUACUUUCAAACAAUGUAGCACUGUUAAGUUAUUUAUUUGUUUACCGUGAUGACGUUCACUGUUACCAAGGACAGAUCAAUGAUUUCUAUUUGACCAAAGCUGACGAGAUCUCUCUAUUCUGUGAAAUAUAUUCAAUGAACUGAAUUUCAAAUGUGUUAUAAAGUCAAAAGUUUUACAUCAACAGAACCAAAGAGUUACUUUCCAUCUCGCCUUUCUUUAAAAAUGCGUUGUGAUUGCCACUGAGGCCACUGCAGUAUGUGGAUGAACGAGCUUAAAGACGGGAAAUGUUGUCAUAUAAUGAGUAUCCUCUCAGUUUACAGACCAUUAUCGCUCCUAUAGUCUGUUUGGUCUAAUGGCAGGAUCCCUCUUUAAUGCUGAAUGCCUUAAUCGCUGACGGAUGUCCGUUCAUUUCUAAUGAAUAAUUCAAUUGCAUUUGCAUGCUGCUGCAGUAAAGCAGUUUUAUUACUGCACCGUGUGCCAGAACUAAAUUAACAGUUCUUUUUCUUCUUGUUUACGACUGUUCGACUUCUCAUUUAGUUUUUUUUAUGAUGAAAAUAAUGUUCCACUUACAUAAAUAUAGAGUGAUGUCCAGGUUCAAUCCAAAGCAACUUUGUAUUUUUACAAUUUAGCACCUCCAGUUUCAGAGAUUAAUAGCACUGUGUUAAAUAUGGACAGCUGUACACGUGUAUCUGUUCUGAUUACAUUACUUAUGAUCAAAAACUAGCGAGUCGACAACUUUGCUAACAGACAAACGUCAAGCAAGGUCAACAACACACAAGACAUAGCAGCAAGCUCAUAUUACUGACUAGUCCAACAGCUAAAAGUCCAGCUCGGCGUCUUUAAGCCUUAUAUUUCACCAAGCUCUCACCAAUGACUAAAAGUCGGUCCCAGAUUUCCUCUUGUCAGACGACUUCUUGCUCGGUCACGCUCUCCUUUUGUCUUCUUAGCUUUCUCCAUCAGUGUCUCCUUUAGUCUCUUCUACUCUGUCAUCAUGUCCACAGAGCCUCCUGAACCCUGUUCAAUGUAGCAUCAGCAUGAUUUAAAAUCAGUUAUUUUAUGGCAGAAAAGUGACACAAUGUUGCUUUAAGACACGGGAUGUUUUUCCCCUUAAAGCCACAUGAAUAAUUUUUUGUCCAAAAGGUGGCAGAAGAACUCCAAACACACAGCACUGAAACGUGUUGCCUUAUGAUGUUCCUGUGGAUCAUAUGGUAGCAAACAGUGACCUACUUACACAUACAUCAGACUUCUCUCCACCUGUAGAGUGGACUGUUCCUCCUUUCUCCACCAAACUCCUGCUCCUCACUACAAGCCGCUCGUUUCACAUUCAUCUGACACAAUGAAAAAUAUUGAUAAACGCAGCUCUAACUUUACAAAUUAUGACGGCAUAGGAAUUAAUUAUCAAAUAUGUGUAAUUUAAUUUAAAGGACCAGUGUGCCAGCUCACCCUCUCCUUUGAUGCAUGAAGCAGAAACUACGGUUUGUCCGUUCUGGGCCUGCUCCCUCUGUAGAUAUAAAAGACUCAUUCAAAGGUAACAAAAACAUAAAGAUUCUUAUUCUAAUCAGGUGAUUACACACUCAUGAAAACAUUGUUAUGAAUAUUAUAUUCAGUUUCUGCCUUAUUGUGCAAACAGAGCGCCCUGAAUCUGACACACCGGACCUUUAAAAUAAAUGUGGGAGACUUUUUGGAGAUGGAUGAAAUGAGAGCAUAGAAAUCAGUUUUCCUCUUUGUCAGUGUUGAUAUUUAGUUAGUGACAAACUAAUCAUACAGACCUCUGAUCAGUGUGACGGCUUUACGACAACAGUCUACUCUUUUAAAGCCGUUUCACUGUCUAGCCCACAUCGGUAGUGAUUUAAUAUUUUAAAAAAAAUUCACCUCUGACAGCCACAUGUGACCUACUGUACAGCAUGUAAACUACCUAUUUAAUACUGUGACUCUGAAGACAAAAGAGCGCUAAAGCCACCAUGCAUACAAUAACAAUAGUGUUAAGUUUUCAGCAGUUAGUUUCCAGAUAUUUGGUUAGACAUUUUGCAACUUCGAUGUAUGACGAUAUGCUGAAAUACUGAAAUUCCUGUUACCACUUUUAUAUAACUUCAAAUGAGCAUUUUCAUGUUAAUUUAUUGUGUACGAUACGCUGUAUGUCCAAAGUGUGACUGAAUCUAUGGCAUCCUCUACUGUGUGUUAGUGAGUACAGUAUAGUUACAGCAUGACUGCGUCUUACAUUACUGGACUUGUGUUUACUUACAGAGGAUCCAUUGUUGUCGUUUACUGCUGUAAAAAGGAGGAAGGCUGUGUUUUCCUGUUCGGGUUCAGCAAUAAAGAGUUCUCUAGUGGCAGAGAGGCUGUACUGUCACAAACA